rnacentral:lncRNA from 1 species
AUGGCGUUGGCCAGCUGCGAGGCAAGCCCUCCUAAUCCCCCCUCCUCCUCAUUUUCCUUUCAAACCUAGAUGUUGGUUUCCUAUAGUAUAACCAGUGCGUACUUCGAUUGCUCGCAUGCACCUUGAUUUCCAUUAAGCAAUAUUUUGCAUCUGCCACUGGGCAGUGUGAUGCUCAAACUUUUAAGUGACGCUUGUGGACUUUGGAUUGCUUACAGGUUGGUGGAAAUUCAUUUUUUUUUUGAGUUAGCCGAAUAUUAGGUGUUCGUUGAAAUAAAACAUAUGUAUGUGUGACCCUUAGGUGUUCGUUGAAAGUCCCCAUACGAGUUGAUGUUUCAGAUUUUAAGUACUGUGUGUUCUUCAAUGGACCAAUUCAUGGCUUUCAUCUUUAAUGCGUGUGUCUUCAUGUUUUGUAGGCAGUCACCACACAUAACUAGCCAAGCCCCUGAUGGCCCGAUCAUGCUCGCGGUUGGCUAUUUUAAAAUGUUUCUCUUUUAUCUGUUGUGUGCUCAUUGAACUAUGGUGAUUAUGCUUGUCAGUUCGUUAUCAAGGUGAGUUGAGGUAGAUAGCACGGGCUGAUAUUGAAAAAGAAAAUGUCAUUGUGAUGGUAAGCAAAAUAUUACGUUUUCAUUAGUGAAGGACUAUAGAGAGUAAGAGGUCUUGAUGAGAUGCUUACAUGACGUGAAUAAUUAAUUUUAGGUGUAUCAUGGGCCCUGCUUCAUUGUUCAGUUAUGUCGCUUGUAUUCGUGGAUCAAUUGCUGGACAUAUAAAGUUCAGUUUUCACAGAUAGCAAAAGUUGCAAAACUAGGUGUGCUGAAUUUUGUUCAAAGUGCAACCUUCUAUUACCGAAAAAGGGUUUUCCCCCGCUUUGUAUACAAAGCAGCCAGCCGAACCAUACAGGGAUAGGUGCUGGGGCGGAAGCAGCACAGUCACGCCCAAAAGAAACGACAAAGAAAGAGCAAAAAAACCAAUGCCGAUAACGGCGGAUCAACAAAAAACGAAGAAGCCUCGCGAUCGCUGCGCCCACCGAGAUCUUCCACUAGGCUCCAAGACUCCGAAGCGCCGGCACCUAUCAACACCUUGAGGAAGGAUCGCGACGAUGACGACGCUGUUGCCAAUGGUUUCCCCCGGUACACGACGAGGCGAGAGGAUGGGUAAGUGCAACCUUCUAUUUGAUGAAGCAAAUAAGGUUUACCUGUAUACCAACUGUAAAAGAGUUACGACACAAGGUCCAAAUCACUUUUUUUGUACUACACCAACAAUAAAAGAGUUACAACACAAGGUCAAGAUCACCUUUUUUGUACUACACUGGGAUUGAUCCUGUAUGUUGUUGUGGCAACCCUGUUUUACUUUGGUCUAUUUUCUGGUAUAUUUCUGCUUACUGAAAAUAGAUGGAAAUUCUAGCAUAUGAUUGCAUUGCUUGAAUUGCCCUUGACAGGUUGCAGUGUGUGUACGGCAUCUUAUAUAUACUAUGGGUGGCUAAUUUAGGUGGUUACGACCACUAUCUUGCCUUCUUACUCUCUUGGGAGGGAGGGGUUGAAGAAGAAGUAUGCCCCGUUGACAAUCGAUGAUAAAUCAUCAGAAUAUGUGUAGGAGAAUUGGACGAUUUUAAUACUCCCUCCGUUCCUAAAUAUAAGUCGAUAAGGUGUGUGUGUGUUCCCCCGCCCUACGCAAAAUUGCACUAUUUUAACACUCUGUCUUGUUUUGCCUGGAUACUCUCAUACUGUGCUUACUAUGUAAUUGCAAAAAAAUGCUUUGAUGUGAGUAAUUGUGCAUUGUGAUAGGCUCCUACAUUGCCGACGAGUGCUAGCGGAAGAGGAACCGACUACACCUCUAAGGGUGUGCGCACGAGGAUCAUUGAGGAGACGGGAACCAUGUCAUCUCCCCUAGCUUGCGAGCCCUUCAAGCAUGAUGCCAACCCAGUCAGUACAUCAACAUACACAGUCAUUUAUAUCUAUAUCUUUGUAUUCAGUAAUGUAAGUCGCAUCUUUAUCUACACUAUACAUUUUUUGUUGAUGCACUGUUGUGCUAGAUUUUUAAAUUCAAAACCGACCACAAGAUCCUUGAUUUGUGUAAUUCAUCUGAGGUUUGUUUGUUCUUUAGGUCAUAGAUGAGGAAUCUUGUCAAAGAGUCUGAUUUGCCAAUUUACACGGUACAAAUGUACAGUGCACUAAUGAGAUGUUCAUUUAUUUUUAUUUUCUCUUCAGGAAACAUGGUUUCGCUUCCAUGUGGAAGGACAUGAUAGGCAGGGUUUGAGGAGGCGAGAUUAAGGAGGUUGAAUUUCUUAAUGGUUUCCAAUACUCAUCUGAAUAGCUUCAAAGAAUUAUCAUGUGCUAAUUUCUCCAAACAUUUAUUUAGAAAACAUGUUGAGUAAUGUGCUUUCUAUUUCAGAUUGGCAUGUUAAUGAGUUGUAUUUGUGUCAAUUUGUUAGUGCAGGACAAAGUUUUUUAUGUACAUAUUGUGCUAAAUGAUUCAGAGGGUAACACUUAUUUAGUAUACCUUACUUAUUUACACAUUUGAUAGUACUUGCUUGUUGCUAGAAUCAACUUUUUAAUUCUUGUAACCUCCAGAGUCCAAAGUUGUUGGGUUGAGUCUUGUGAAAGGGUCUGGCUAUCAUUCUUAAUUUUAGAUCACAUUGGUUGGUGGUUUUUCCUUGUAUAUAGAACCUUCAAUCAAUUAUUAAACUAUGCCUUCAUCAGUGACGUUGUUCACUGCAUCAGCUCUAAGGGUGUGCGCACGGGGAUCACUGAGGAGACGGGAACCAUGUCAUCUCCCCUAGCUUGCGAUCCCUUCAAGCAUGACGCCAACCCAGUCAGUACAUCAACAUAUACAGUCAUUUAUAUCUAUAUCUUUGUAUUCAGUUAUGUAAGUUGCAUCUUUAUCUACGCCAUACAUUUUUGUUGAUGCACUGUUGUGCUAUAUUUUUAAAUUCAAAACCGACCACAAGAUCCUUGAUAUGUGUAAUUCAUCUGAGGUUUGUUUGUUCUUUAGAUCAUAGAUGAGGAAUCUUGUCAAAGAGUCUGAUUUGCCAAAUUGCACGGUACAAACCAUUUAUUUUUAUUUUCUCUUCAGGAAACAUGGUUUCGAGUCCAUGUGGAAGGACAUGACAGGCAGGGGUAUUUUCAUAGAUGGAAGCGAGAUUAAGGACGUUGAAUUCGUUAAUGGUUCUCCAAUACUCAUUUGAAUAGCCUCAAAGAAUUAUCAGAUGUUACACAAGGAAAAUGCUUAAUUAUCUCAGGUGGAAGAAAUAUUUCAACGUAAAUGAGUUACAAAUCCAUUCACUCCCAAAAUAUUGUUUUGGCGAACUUUCUACCUUUAGAUAUAAAUUAUCUGGGUUUUUUAAUGG